rnacentral:rRNA from 1 species
CUAACCAGGAUUCCCUUAGUAACGGCGAGUGAAGCGGGAAGAGCCCAGCGCCGAAUCCCCCCGUCCUUGCGGCGUUCGGGGACCUGUGGCGUGUAAAGGACUGCGGUGCGGCGAUUUUUUUCUCGGUUGUCCAAGUUUUUAACACGAGGUCUUUCCCACAGCGGGUGAUAGGCCUUUAGUGGCGACCGGGGUUUCGUCCCACGCUUUCCUCAGAGUCGGGUUGCUUGAGAAUGCAGCCCCAAGGAGGGUGGUAUGCUCCAUCUAAGGCUAAAUACUGGCACGAGUCCGAUAGCGAACAAGUACCGUGAGGGAAAGUUGCAAAGAACUUUGAAGAGAGAGUUCAAUAGAGCGUGAAACCGUAGUGCAGUAAAUCGGGUGGACCUGUGCGAGAAGGUCUCGCGCAGGCGGGAACCGGGACGGCGUGCGUCGGUGGUGACGGCGCGCUUCUGGCAUGGUUUGCUCUACACGAGCGCCUGACAAUUUUUCCAGAGAAUUGGACCAUUUUAAAACCGGUCCAGCGAACCCCGGGACUCGUCGUUGCGCGAGAACGUGUGAAUCUGCGUCGCGUUCGGUUCGAGCGAGGUGAAAAGGCCCGGUUUGCGGAGGUGUGGCUUGCUGUCCCGUAGUAGGUGGGGGGUUUCUUCCUCUUGCUUCGGGGCUUCAAUUGCCAACUAACAUACGCCUGGGAGAUGGCCCCGUCUUGGACCGACGACAUAUGACCGUGCGUGCUUUUGCGUCACUCUGCCCUUGGAGAGCCCGUCAAAACGGUUUUCCUGGGGGCGGCGGCGGCAGCGCGCACACGAAACGGUGGUCACGCGACAUUUGAUCAGUGCUCUACCCGUCCCGUCUUGAAACACGGACCAAGGAGUCCGACGUGAGCGCGAGUCAUUGGGAACCACGAAACCCACAGGCGCAAUGAAAGUGUUCUUUGAGGUGUGAUCGGGUGUGUGCGGUCUCUUCGGGGGCCGCGCGCCCUGCGCAACACCGGCUGGUCCCUACGUCUCGGUCUUUCUUUUUUUAGACCGUCACGGGGCCAAGCAAGAGCGGUCACGUCGGGACCCGAAAGAUGGUGAACUAUUCCUGAGCAGGAUGAAGCCGGGGGAAACUCUGGUGGAGGUCCGCAGCGAUUCUGACGUGCAAAUCGAUCGUCAAACUUGGGUAUAGGGGCGAAAGACUAAUCGAACCAUCUAGUAGCUGGUUCCCUCCGAAGUUUCCCGUAGGAUAGCUGGCGCUCGUCUAAGUCAGUUGUAUCCGGUAAAGCGAAGGAUUAGAGUCGGCUGGGGCGGAGGCGUCCUGGCGCUAUUCUCAAACUUUAAAUGGGUACGGUGCCGCUUCUCGCUUUGCGAUGUAAAUUUAUUUGGAGAGCGGAGUAGAAUGAGAGUGCUUAGUGGGCCAUUUUUGGUAAGCAGAACUGGCGCUGUGGGAUGAACCAAACGUGCGGUUAAGGCGCCCAACGCGGCCCUGAUGAGAUACCAUAAAAGGUGUUGGUCGAUCCAGACAGCAGGGCGGUGGCCACGGAAGUCGGAACCCGCUAAGGAGUGUGUAACAACUCACCUGCCGAAUCGAGCAGCCCUGAAAAUGGAUGGCGCUGGAGGGUCGGGCCGAUACCGUACCGUCGCGGCAAAAGUCUCUUUUGAUAGCUUUCUGAACUUUUGAUGCCGCGACGAGUAGGAGGGUGCGUCGGGGUGGCGCGGAAGCUUGGGCCGUGAGGCCGAGUGGAGCCGCCGCGAGUGCAGAUCUUGGUGGUAGUAGCAAAUACUCAAACGAAACCUUUGAGGGCCGAAGUUGAGAAGGGUUCCUUGUUGAAACAGCAGUUGAUGAAGGGUGAGUCGGUCCUAAGAGACGGGAUAAUUCUUGUUAGAAAGUUGGUAAUGGGUCGGUCGUCUUGCUGAAAAUUACUUUUAUAAAACAACACUUUAAACACAACACAGAGAGCGAGCGAGCGCGCGAGAGCGAGCGAGCGAACGAGAGAGACUAGUCGUUUUGAUGGGGGUAUUUGGUACGAGGAGGAGAGAGAAAAUCGGAGGACAUUUACUACUAGAGCGACGUCGCCGCCGAGGGCAACACGUUGAACAAAACACACACGCACGACU